rnacentral:lncRNA from 1 species
GGUUGGGGGUUGCGUCGCUCUCUGGUAAAGGCGUGCAGGUGUUGGCCGCGGCCUCUGAGCUGGGAUGAGCCGUGCUCCCGGUGGAAGCAAGGGAGCCCAGCCGGAGCCAUGGCCGUUACGUUUUGCAAGCCAUGAAGCAUAUGGAGCCUCAAGUAAAACAAGUUUUUCAAAGCCUACCAAAAUCUGCCUUCAGUGGUGGCUAUUAUAGAGGUGGGUUUGAACCCAAAAUGACAAAACGGGAAGCAGCAUUAAUACUAGGUGUAAGCCCUACUGCCAAUAAAGGGAAAAUAAGAGAUGCUCAUCGACGAAUUAUGCUUUUAAAUCAUCCUGACAAAGGAGGAUCUCCUUAUAUAGCAGCCAAAAUCAAUGAAGCUAAAGAUUUACUAGAAGGUCAAGCUAAAAAAUGAAGUAAAUGUAUGAUGAAUUUUAAGUUCGUAUUAGUUUAUGUAUAUGAGUACUAAGUUUUUAUAAUAAAAUGCCUCAGAGCUACAAUUUUAAAAAAUGAUUUAGCACAAGCUAAAUCUCAAAGCCUUGGUAUAAUUUUCUUGUUUAAAUUUGGGGAUUUUAAAUCAGAUUAUAGUUUAGAAUAUUUGCGUAUUAAUUAUGGGCAAGCACACACCUUCUGAAUAGAAAUAUUGUUCAUUACUCAUUUAGCAGAUAAUUUGGGACCUAUGUCUACUUUUCAAGGCAAAGUGAAGAUGACAGUCCUUGCUCUCAGGGAGCCCCCACUUUAAUGGGAGACUGAUAAACUGGUAAUUAGACUGUGAUA